UACAGAGGGUGCGAGCGUUAAUCGGAAUUACUGGGCGUAAAGCGCGCGUAGGCGGCUUUGCAAGUCGGGUGUGAAAUCCCCAGGCUUAACCUGGGAACUGCAUUCGAGACUGCAUUGCUAGAGUAUGGGAGAGGGAAGUGGAAUUUCCGGUGUAGCGGUGAAAUGCGUAGAUAUCGGAAGGAACAUCAGUGGCGAAAGCGACUUCCUGGACCAAUACUGACGCUCAGGCACGAAAGCGUGGGGAGCAAACAGG
rnacentral:rRNA from 1 species